CAAUGUAUAGCUUAACCCCAAAGCACUUCGCUUACACCGAAACUAUGUUCGUGAAAAUCAAACUACCUUGA
rnacentral:tRNA from 1 species